ensembl:lncRNA
GCUGGAGAGGUGCAGUGACCAGCACAGGGCCCGGGGCCCAGCACGUGACUGACACACGUAGCCCAUCACACCCAGAGGCUGUCUGCUCACCUGGCAAAGAAAUGUCCUCAGGAGUUCUGUCCUCUGGACCGAGCCGAGGAAACAGGCACCAGAGACCAGACCAGAGCUGGGAAAGCCGGACGCGGCUGGCUCCCAGGAUUCACGGGAAUGUCGGAUCUUUCACCUCUGCUGUCCUCUCUCCCUUCUUCUUCAAGCACUGAGGGAUCAGCUGACUACAGUAAACAACUUAGAAAAGGAGGUUGAAAACUAUGUCUUUGUCUGGUUCCCUUCCAGGCAGUGAAUGCUUUCAUGACACGGUGCACUGGAUUGCGUUCUGAACAGCUGCUGCAAACUUGGUG